AGAGUUUGAUCAUGGCUCAGAACGAACGCUGGCGGCGGGCCUAAUACAUGCAAGUCGAACGAGAAAAUCCGGCUUCGGUCGGGUGAGUAAAGUGGCGAACGGGUGAGUAACACGUGGGCAAUCUACCCUUGAGUUUGGGAUAAGCCUUCGAAAGGAGGUCUAAUACCGGAUAAUAUCUUUGGAUGGCAUCUUCCGAAGAUCAAAGGCGGGGCAACCUGUCGCUUGGGGAUGAGCCCGCGCUCCAUUAGCUUGUUGGUAGGGUAACGGCCUACCAAGGCUACGAUGGAUAGCCGGCCUGAGAGGGUGAUCGGCCACACUGGGACUGAGAUACGGCCCAGACUCCUACGGGAGGCAGCAGUAGGGAAUAUUGCGCAAUGGACGAAAGUCUGACGCAGCCACGCCGCGUGGAUGAUGAAGCUUUUUGGAGUGUAAAAUCCUGUCAGUGGGGACGAACCGGCUGAGGAGUAACUGCCUCAGCUCUGACGGUACCCGCAGAGGAAGUUCCGGCUAACUCCGUGCCAGCAGCCGCGGUAAUACGGGGGGAACGAGCGUUGUUCGGAUUUACUGGGCGUAAAGGGCGUGUAGGCGGAUCUGCCAGUCAUGUGUGAAAACCGGUGGCUUAACCACCGGCCUGCAUGUGAUACUGCAGAUCUUGAGUACGGGAGAGGAAAGCGGAAUUCCAGGUGUAGCGGUGACAUGCGUAGAUAUCUGGAAGAACACCGGUGGCGAAGGCGGCUUUCUGGACCGAUACUGACGCUGAGGCGCGAAAGCCAGGGGAGCAAACAGGAUUAGAUACCCUGGUAGUCCUGGCCGUAAACGAUGGGUACUAGGUGUUGGGGGUAUCGACCCCCUCAGUGCCGCAGCAAACGCAUUAAGUACCCCGCCUGGGGAGUACGAUCGCAAGGUUGAAACUCAAAGGAAUUGACGG
rnacentral:rRNA from 1 species